GCCUUUUCAGAGCAGCACCUGCAGCAAACUCACCACUUCCUCCAUUUGUGAUUCAUGAACAGGAUCCGUCCAGCUGCAGAGAAGAAACUGAGGAGAAAAUCUACAAGUUUGAACUUUAGAAGAGUUUCUGAAGCUGCUGCUCCUCGUCUCAUUACCUGACAGACGCCUGCUUCAUCUGGAGGAUAAAAUGCGACGGCGCCAGCAGAACCUCGGGUCCAGAUCGGGUCCGGAGUGACUCAGCGAGGCCCAUAAAGCAGCAGCUGAUUAAAGAUGAUUGAUACGUCAGAGGAUCUCAUCGCCGUCACGUCUGCUGCAGCUGAGAAGCUUUUAGCCACUGGACGGGUCAAACGCUCCCAUCGAGGCGGUAAAAGGCCACUGUAAAUCUGCUGCCGCCCCGCCAGCUGAUCAAUACUGAUCUAAACGUGAUGAAUGGGAACUCCACGGACUCCAUCUUCUCUCCUCCAGCAGCCUUAUCUCGUCUCAGAGGAGGUUUCUGGCAGAGAGACGGAGGUCACGGAGAUAAAACAUCUGAAACGUUCGGUUUCACCACCGCUGAUGUCACAGCUGCUCUUUGUGCUUCCACAUCCAGGCCAGAAGAUCAGAUGUGAAGGACAGGAGACGACUGAGGACCACGUCUGGGUCCAGGAGAAGAGUCUGCUCUGGUUCUUCUUUCCUUCUGGUUAAAAACUGAUACCAGAUCACCACAAAAAAGAAACAGGAAGUUCCCCAGGUGUCCAGCAGAAUUCAAAUCCUCCACUGAAGAGAAAGGAGCCAAACAGAGACUGAGUUUCUGUCGUUCUGUGGAGGAACGCUGUGAGAACAACUAUCAGAGCAAAUGUUUCCUCAAGACUCAUUUUAGCGUCGCACAGCCUCAGACUGAAGGGUUAACGACAGGAAGUCAGUCAGACGACUAAAGGAUGGAAAUUAUUCCUCAAACCGACUCUGUCUGCAGGAUUCUGAGAGUGGGACAGAAAAACAACACAAAUAAAACAGGAUCAUUCAGUCACACUUCCUGUUUAUGUUUAUCAUCAACGUUCACUCAAGCAGCAGCAGCAGCUUUAAUAUUAUAGAAUAUCAAAUAGAAUAUACCACUAUCCAUAAUCUGAUGGAGUAUAUAAGCAUGUAUAAUAUUAUAGAAUAUUUAAGUAUAUAGAAUAUUAUAGAAUAUAUAAGUAUAUAUAAUAAUGUGUUUAUGUGCAGCAACCAGCACCUGAAUACGUCUACCUCCUUUUCAUAGUAUUUUCUUAUUUAAUUCUUGUAAAUUUACAUGUUACAGUAUUUUAUUCUCCUCUCAUAAGUAGUACUGGUAGUAGUAGUAGUAGUACUAAUAGUUGCAUCUGUUUCCAGGCUCAGCUGCUGGGAUUAGUAAAUACAACUAGAAUCAGUUUUAUCAGCUGCUGAAGGAGGAGUUUGUUGUUGAAGCUCCAUCAGACAGGAAGUGACCGAUGGCCCUCAGCAGCUUCUCCAUGUACAUGAAUGUGGCCCUGAGGGGACCACAGCGAUUAACCAAACAUCUCAUCCAUUCAGCAAACACCAGGUCCUCCUCCGUCAGACUCCAUUUAUCAUCCAAACCCCCAGAGGAAGCAUCCUCUGAACGUACCUACACCCAGAUCCACAUUCCUCUUCUGAAAUAAACCUCCACACUUCCAGGAAGAGGUUGAGGGAUUUCCCCGAUUCCACAGUUUGUCAUCCCGGAGAAUUUAGAAGUAAUAGCUCAGGAAGAACUUCAGAGGAGAUAAAGUGGACCAGCAGCAGCUAGAGGUG